AUGCAAGUCGAGCGGAUGACGGGAGCUUGCUCCCGGAUUCAGCGGCGGACGGGUGAGUAAUGCCUAGGAAUCUGCCUGGUAGUGGGGGACAACGUUUCGAAAGGAACGCUAAUACCGCAUACGUCCUACGGGAGAAAGUGGGGGACCUUCGGGCCUCACGCUAUCAGAUGAGCCUAGGCCGGAUUAGCUAGUUGGUGAGGUAAAGGCUCACCAAGGCGACGAUCCGUAACUGGUCUGAGAGGAUGAUCAGUCACACUGGAACUGAGACACGGUCCAGACUCCUACGGGAGGCAGCAGUGGGGAAUAUUGGACAAUGGGCGAAAGCCUGAUCCAGCCAUGCCGCGUGUGUGAAGAAGGUCUUCGGAUUGUAAAGCACUUUAAGUUGGGAGGAAGGGCAGUAAGCGAAUACCUUGCUGUUUUGACGUUACCGACAGAAUAAGCACCGGCUAACUCUGUGCCAGCAGCCGCGGUAAUACAGAGGGUGCAAGCGUUAAUCGGAAUUACUGGGCGUAAAGCGCGCGUAGGUGGUUUGUUAAGUUGAAUGGGAAA
rnacentral:rRNA from 1 species